GGUCAAUGAUGACAUUCUUGCCUUGUCUGUAGAGAGGUGUUGUGUUAAAAUUCAUGUGCAAUAGAGUUACACUGAGGACC
rnacentral:snoRNA from 1 species